GUUUUUAGCUGUAGAGCAAUUGCAAAGAAAAAGAAAUUCAGAAUAUUCACAUACUUAUCAUUCUUGCUUGGGUACCAAAGGGCGCUUUCAAAACAGUCUUCCUAUCAGUUAGGGUCAAAUACAAGGGCCAGCACAAGUAAGAGAUAUUUCCAGCAUAAGAUGUUAAUGUGUGCAUAGUCCCAUCAACUGAAUAUCCAGUCACCUUCAUGGGAGCAUCAAGUAGAUGCCAGACACCCAGCCUGCACUUGCUCCUUUUGCACACACUAGUGGCUGCACUUGGAAAAGUUUGUGCAUUUUUCUGUUUGCUUUUUUCUUUUCUUUUUUUUUUUUUUUUUUUAAUAGAAAUCUUCCAGAGGUUUCUGCUGAGAAUUUGAUUCACCUUGAAGAAAAACUAGAAAACAUUAUUGUGAUACAGUUUCCUUUAAGAAGAAAUACCAGCAGGAGCUCAUUCAUGAGAUUUAGAGAGUUGUCAACAGAGCUGAAAUGGCUGGGAUUCUUAUCUGCCAUCUCCAACAUAUUUUCUAUAUUAUGAAGAAAUUUAAUGAGUCAUUUCAUUUGGAGUUUUGAACUUGGCUUUCUAGCCUCCUGUACAGAUAAAUCACCUUCAGAAUAUGUGUGGUAGCAGGGCUGCAUGCAGC
rnacentral:lncRNA from 1 species